UACGUAGGGACCGAGCGUUGUCCGGAUUCAUUGGGCGUAAAGAGCUCGUAGGCGGCUGUUCAAGUCGAACGUGAAAACUCGGAGCUCAACUCCGAGCCUGCGUUCGAUACUGGACGGCUAGAGUCUGGUAGGGGGAUCUGGAAUUCCUGGUGUAGCGGUGGAAUGCGCAGAUAUCAGGAGGAACACCAAUGGCGAAGGCAGCUCGCUGGGACGUGACUGACGCUGAGACGCGAAAGCGUGGGGAGCGAAACAGG
rnacentral:rRNA from 1 species